GACGGAUGGUGAUCAGCACUUUUGUUCUUUGGUUACAUUUAUCUAAGGCCUUUUACACACUUGGACAUUUCGUAUGUACGUCAAGCAUAAAGCAGCCAUCAAGGAUUCCUCGUGAUUCAGGGACACGUCUCAUUCUGGCCACUGCUCCAAUUACUCUGAGAGUCUCUGCAGAGAACGAUACUUACCCGAAGCCAGCGACGACGCGGCAGAGAAGGAAGACUCCAUAUCCCUGGACGAAAGAUGACAGGAAGGCAAAGAAGCCGUU